rnacentral:rRNA from 1 species
GUUUCUCUGUUCACGGGAUUGAUUGGCAUUAGCGGCGAUGAAGGACGUGCAGGAGGACGAUAUGCGUUGUUGUUGUGACGGUGUCUGAAUUGUGUGCGGUGUGCACGGGGACCCCUUGGACUUAAGCAUAUCAGUAAAGGGAGGAGAAGAAACCAAAUGGGAUUGCCUGAGUAGCGGCGA